ensembl:lncRNA
AACACAAGCAGAACCAGAGAGGAAGAAACCCCGAGAACUACACCGAGCGAGGCAGAAGAAGAACCAGCUUCACUUUUGAUCGAGGGUCUCAGAGUGGACACACAUCUGGGGACACAUCUGGAUCUCAGAUAAUCGUCCAUCUUCAUCCUCCCAUCUGUACUGCUCAUAGCUGCUACAUGCUAACUUCUGCUAGCCUAGCUUCAUCAUUAGCUACAUUUAACCUGUUAACGCACUGCACUUCUUCAUUUCAGCAUUCAACUCAACCUAGCUAAACCGGAAUUGAGUUAGCUUAGCUUUAUAGCUUCUCUGAAGCUGUUGUGUUGUACUAUAAUUUGUUGUGAUGUACAGACUGCUUGGUGAUAAUCCUCUAUUUAUGCAUUAAGUUAGCUUAGCUGUCAGUUAGCUUUGCUUAAGUUUUGUUUUAAUCAAGCUAACUUGGAGCGUUGUCGUGUUUUAGCCAGGCUGUAUUCCAGCUGGUUGGUUUUAAAUAGCGUAAAAAUAACUUAGCCCGGCUGUAGUUUAGCUUAGCUGUAAUUCUCCUCAAUACCAUUUAGCCUAACGUAAACGUAAAUGUAAUUUAGCCUAAAUGUAACCUAACCAACCUAAAUUUAAUUUAGCCUACUUGUAAGUUAGCCUAAAUAUAACUUAGCUAAGCCAUAUAUUAACCUAAAUUUAAGUUUGCCUAAAUGAAAUUUGCCUGGUUGUAAUCCAUCGGGUUAAUCAUUGAGUCGGUUUUUACCAGAAGCUGAGGGAUAUUGCUCAAAGUUGAAGCUUAGCAUUAGUGUUUUUGCUAUCGGAGUACAAAAAGCUCGCAGCAAGCACCACAAACCUCACGAUGGAUUCAGAAGAGGAAGACAACGUGUUUUCCACCCAGAGUCCUCUAAGAGUAGAUGAUGAGGAGGAAGAGGAGGAAGAAGAUGAUGAAGAGGAAGACGGACGCAUCUUCAACACCUGGAUGCAGCGCUGCAGGGGGGCGGGGCAGAAUAAAGAAGGGCAGGAGGAGCAGGAGGAAAAGGGGGAGGAGAUAGAUGGAAGAACACCUGAGAGCAACUUGGAUCCGCCAAUCAGAAUGAGGACGGAGCGGCGAGCGUCUCUACCUAGCCCCGCCACUCUGUCCUCCAUGCACCUGUCUCGCCUCCAAACCUCCACCCGAGCUCCGGUAACAGCGAGGGUACUUCUGCGCCACUCGUCCUCCCGUCGCCUCCUUCCGUCACCGCAGGACACUGAUGGCCCUGCCGCCCCCGAGCGGAGACCCUCCCUCAUACCCACAAUCCCUGAGGUUACGCCGCAUGAGAGGCGGGGCUUCAGGAGACGCAACGUCAUGUCACUGAGUGACGCCUACAGUGUUUGUCUCAUCUGUCAUAACGAGUUGAGUCGAGGAGCCGGAGGAACCAGAGAGCUGCAGUGUGCACACACCUUUCACAGAGAGUGUUUAGAGGAGUGGCUUUGGAGGAAACAGUCGUGUCCUACAUGUCACGUCCAGGUGACUGUCCCUCAGCCAGCCCACUGGAGCUCCACCCGGGUCAAAGUCCCCUGA